rnacentral:rRNA from 1 species
CAGCAUGAUCUAGCUUGCUAGAUUGAUGGCGAGUGGCGAACGGGUGAGUAAUACAUCGGAACGUGCCCUGUAGUGGGGGAUAACUAGUCGAAAGAUUAGCUAAUACCGCAUACGACCUGAGGGUGAAAGUGGGGGACCGCAAGGCCUCAUGCUAUAGGAGCGGCCGAUGUCUGAUUAGCUAGUUGGUGGGGUAAAGGCCCACCAAGGCGACGAUCAGUAGCUGGUCUGAGAGGACGAUCAGCCACACUGGGACUGAGACACGGCCCAGACUCCUACGGGAGGCAGCAGUGGGGAAUUUUGGACAAUGGGGGCAACCCUGAUCCAGCAAUGCCGCGUGUGUGAAGAAGGCCUUCGGGUUGUAAAGCACUUUUGUCCGGAAAGAAAUCGCACUUACUAAUAUUAGGUGUGGAUGACGGUACCGGAAGAAUAAGGACCGGCUAACUACGUGCCAGCAGCCGCGGUAAUACGUAGGGUCCAAGCGUUAAUCGGAAUUACUGGGCGUAAAGCGUGCGCAGGCGGUUGUGCAAGACCGAUGUGAAAUCCCCGGGCUUAACCUGGGAAUUGCAUUGGUGACUGCACGGCUAGAGUGUGUCAGAGGGGGGUAGAAUUCCACGUGUAGCAGUGAAAUGCGUAGAGAUGUGGAGGAAUACCGAU